rnacentral:lncRNA from 1 species
UUGCAAGCAAGUGGAAAAUCUUGAGGAGGAAAAUCAAAGUUGCAACCAAGUGGAAAAUCUUGAGGAGGAAAAUCAAUUCAAGUUGAACAAGUGAUAAACAAGUGGGAAGAUAUUUUUUACAAAUUUGUCUAACAUAUCUAGCCCUUCAUUUAUGUUCAUCUCCACCCUCCAUUCAUCAUUUUUUGGGCUAUAAAUACACUUCUCCUCUCACUCUCAAAAUACCAAUUCCUUCAUCCAUUCCAUCUUCUUUGUCUCUCCAUUUCCUUUCCAUUUUUCUCUCCAUUCUCUAGUUUUAAGUUUCUGCAUUUUUAAGCAAAGAGAAGAAGAGAAGAAGAAGCCAUGAAGCCUCCUAGCCGUCAUCAUCCACCUUGUGCCGUGAUAGUGAAGUCUUGCUUUAAAGAUUCAAGAUCAAUGUCUCAAGCUCUUCAUCAUCCACUCCCUUCAUGGUAUUUGUAG